ACUCUUCGACCUAUCCGGAUGUCGGGUACCAUUGCUAGAUGGUCACUUCGAUUAGUACAGGAAUUGGUUCCUGUGCUACCGACUUAGGUUCGAACCUGCAGGGUCACACACAUUAGAGGUUCCUAUCUGAUCUGAUGGCUGGUGUAGAAUCUUACAUAUUUGAGACUCAGUGAUCGAGAAUCAGGAUUCUCUGAUCACGAGUUUCACACAUUAUGGGUACCGGAGUCAAGAGUCCCACUGGUUGGGACUUUUCGAUCAGGGUUACAUAUCGAUGAAUUCUGUUGCCCGAUUGCCCAUCGAAUUUGCACAAAGUAUUUAUGAGAGGUUUUAUU
rnacentral:lncRNA from 1 species